GACAAUCUCAAGGCUCUGGUUCUGGUAACUCUCUCUCUCUCUCCCCCUCCCUCUCUCUCUCUCUCUCUCUCUCCAACGCAAACGCAAUUCGCAAACACAAACAAGGCCUUUGAUUGUCCGUGGACCGUCCAAGCUCCCAACUCCCAAGUGUUAAUUGACAAUUAUGGUUUCCAAAAAUGGAUUACAUUGGUUAGAGCGGUCAAAAAAAUCGUGAAUUGCGAAAUCGUAAGUGUUUUAUUGGAUUCAUGGAUUAAUAGUCUAG
rnacentral:lncRNA from 1 species